CGCGAAACCUUUACACUGCACGACAGUGCGAUAGGGGAACUCCGAGUGCGAGGGCAUAGAGCCCUCGCUUUUCUGUACCGUAAGGUGGUACAGGAAGAAGGGCUGGGCAAGACCGGUGCCAGCCGCCGCGGUAAUACCGGCAGCCCGAGUGAUGGCCACUAUUAUUGGGCCUAAAGCGUCCGUAGCCGGCCGGACAAGUCCGUCGGGAAAUCCGCACGCUCAACGUGCGGGCGUCCGGCGGAAACUGUCCGGCUUGGGGCCGGAAGAUCCGAGGGGUACGUCCGGGGUAGGAGUGAAAUCCCGUAAUCCUGGACGGACCGCCGGUGGCGAAAGCGCCUCGGAAGGACGGACCCGACGGUGAGGGACGAAAGCUAGGGUCUCGAACCGGAUUAGAUACCCGGGUAGUCCUAGCCGUAAACGAUGCUCGCUAGGUGUGGCACAGGCUACGAGCCUGUGCUGUGCCGUAGGGAAGCCGUGAAGCGAGCCGCCUGGGAAGUACGUCCGCAAGGAUGAAACUUAAAGGAAUUGGCGGGGGAGCACUACAACC
rnacentral:rRNA from 1 species